CCUAAAACGUUGCUUCGGCGGGAACAGACGGCCCUGUAACAACGGGCCGCCCCCGCCAGAGGACCCCUAACUCUGUUUUUAUAAUGUUUUUCUGAGUAAACAAGCAAAUAAAUUAAAACUUUCAACAACGGAAUCUCUUGGCUCUGGCAUCGAUGAAGAACGCAGCGAAAUGCGAUAAGUAAUGUGAAUUGCAGAAUUCAGUGAAUCAUCGAAUCUUUGAACGCACAUUGCGCCCGCCAGUAUUCUGGCGGGCAUGCCUGUUCGAGCGUCAUUACAACCCUCAGGCCCCCGGGCCUGGCGUUGGGGAUCGGCGGAAGCCCCCUGUGGGCACACGCCGUCCCUCAAUACAGUGGCGGUCCCGCCGCAGCUUCAUUGCGUAGUAGCUAACACCUCGCAACUGGAGAGCGGCGCGGCCAUGCCGUAAACACCCAACUUCUGAAUGUUGACCUCGAAUCAGGUAGGAAUACCCGCUGAACUUAGCAUAC
rnacentral:rRNA from 1 species